UGUUCUGUGGCUGAGUUGGUUAAAGUAUUGCUCUAGCGAAUACCAACUCGUAGGUUCAAGUUCCACCAGAACGC
rnacentral:tRNA from 1 species